ACGUUCUUUAUUUUUCAUUUUGAGAACAGCAAUGGAAAGUUUUAAUAGAAUGAUUAGCAUUUGCGGAUGGAAAGCUGGCUGAUUUUGUUGCACUGAGAAAACUGAGAGAAAUCUUGCUCCCAUUGGACCAUUUGUAUCUAUAUGCAUUAGGAUCCCGAUUCAUGGAUCUCUCGGUUCGAGAAAUAAAAAUAAGAGGAUCGAACCAUUUCUUCUGACUCUUUUUCAAACGUAGCUGGAACAAGUAAUCACUGGGGAUGGCAACGGGGUGGGAUUGAGACUGAUAUGAUAUUAAAAAACAAUACACUACUGGUAGAGUUACUUUCUCAAGAGAACAAGUUCCAUAAACAAAGGUGUGAUGCACUUGAAAUCCUCAGCUCAUAUAUAUCACUUCCUAAGGUUCAGCUCUAAUGCCAAUGCGCUCAUGUAAAAGAUCGGAUAUCUGUUUGUCUUUGUACCUUGUCUAUAGAAUGUCUUGUAUAGUAAUGGAUGGCAAUUUAACAUGUUAGCAAAAGUGCCAGAGUUGCUAGUAUUGUUAUCAACUCUUUGCAUGAUUAAACU